rnacentral:lncRNA from 1 species
UCUGUACCAAUUCAUUUAUACGAAGUCAAGUGCUUAUUGUUAGAUAUUUCUUUUGAGUUACACCAACUUGCUCAAUUUCAGGGCAGCAUGUGGCUGAGUGGCAUAUUGUGCAGAGGAAGAGUAUGAGAAGAAACUUGUGCUUCUCAUUCAAACUUUGUCGAACUCUCUUUAUGUGCGAUUGUGCACUUGUUGGGUCCUUUUUCUAUGCACUUGCACUUGUAGAAGUAUUCUAUUGUGCAUUUGUAAAAUUAUUUUGAUGUGCACUUGUUAGGCCUUGAACCUUAAUGUGUGGAGGAAUCGGUGGAUGAUGUAUUGUAUUUCAUGUGAUGAACUACUGAAAUGAAAUAUACAGUUUAUCUGCAAUAUUU